AAAUUGUGUCAACCCGUCGCAGCACGCAUCAGCUUGCGAAAAACGAGGAGUGCCGCAAGGAGCUCUGUGCUGUAGCAAGGAGCUUUUUUCGAGUUUCGAGGUGACCCGCCGAUCGAUGUCGGUAAAAGUCGGCAACACCCGAAGCUGAGGCCAUCUUGACCAUACGAAACCUCAACAAGAACUGAAGAGAACAUCAAAUUUAAAAUGGCCCCUGUUAUGAGGAGGUUGCUUCAAACCAACAUCAAGAAACAUCUGGUCAUCGCCAGUGUUCUCUGCGGCAUUUCCGUCGUCGUCACCGAGAAUGUCCUGAACAAGCCUAGGAAAGCGAAAUACGCUGAAUUCUAUAAGACCUACGAUGCCGAGCAAGACUUCCAGAGGAUGGUUAAAUGCGGAGUUUUCCAGUCUGUGAAGCCCUGAACUUGCAGCCAAUAGUUCCAGCAAAUAGAUAAAAAAAAUGUCAUUAUUCAAUUAAAAAGAUAUGUAAAUAAAUGUAAUAGACUCCUGUCAAGUUGUUUUUCCAAAAA